GAUGAACGCUGGCGGCGUGCUUAACACAUGCAAGUCGAACGGAAAGGCCCAAGCUUGCUUGGGUACUCGAGUGGCGAACGGGUGAGUAACACGUGGGUGAUCUGCCCUGCACUUCGGGAUAAGCCUGGGAAACUGGGUCUAAUACCGGAUAGGACCACAUUUUGGAUGGUGUGGUGGAAAGUUUUUCGGUGUGGGAUGAGCUCGCGGCCUAUCAGCUUGUUGGUGGGGUAAUGGCCUACCAAGGCGGCGACGGGUAGCCGGCCUGAGAGGGUGUACGGCCACAUUGGGACUGAGAUACGGCCCAGACUCCUACAGGGGGCAGCAGUGGGGAAUAUUGCACAAUGGGCGCAAGCCUGAUGCAGCGACGCCGCGUGGGGGAUGACGGCCUUCGGGUUGUAAACUCCUUUCGCGAGGGACGAAGCGUUUUUGUGACGGUACCUGGAGAAGAAGCACCGGCUAACUACGUG
rnacentral:rRNA from 1 species